rnacentral:rRNA from 1 species
UGGGGAAUAUUGCACAAUGGGGGAAACCCGUAGAUGCAGCGACGCCGCGUGAGCGAAGAAGUAUUUCGGUAUGUAAAGCUCUAUCAGCAGGGAAGAAGAAUGACGGUACCUGACUAAGAAGCACCGGCUAAAUACGUGCCAGCAGCCGCGGUAAUACGUAUGGUGCAAGCGUUAUCCGGAUUUACUGGGUGUAAAGGGAGCGCAGGCGGUGCGGCAAGUCUGAUGUGAAAGCCCGGGGCUCAACCCCGGGACUGCUUUUGAAACUGUGGAGCUAGAGUGCAGGAGGGGCAAGUGGAAUUCCUAGUGUAGCGGUGAAAUGCGUAGAUAUUAGGAGGAACACCAGUGGCGAAGGCGGCUUGCUGGACUGUAACUGACACUGAGGCUCGAAAGCGUGGGGAGCAAACAGGAUUAGAUACCCUGGUAGU